rnacentral:rRNA from 3 species
CUCAGUAGUUAAGUGACGAUAGCCUAGGAGAUACACCUGUACCCAUGCCGAACACAGCAGUUAAGCCCUAGAACGCCUGAAGUAGUUGGGGGUUGCCCCCUGUUAGAUACGGUAGUCGCUUAGCAUAU